rnacentral:snRNA from 1 species
UUGCUUUGGGAGCACAUAUACUAAAAAACUGGAACGCUACAGAGAAGAUUAGCAUGGCCCCUGUGCAAGGAUGAUGUGCAAAUUUGUAAAGCAUUCCAUAUUUUU